rnacentral:rRNA from 1 species
UGGUUUGGGGAUUCGCUCCCUGUCGCCAGGUGGNNUCCCUUUGUCCACGCCAUUGUAACACGUGUGUCGCCCCGGAUGUAAGGGCCGUGCUGAUUUGACGUCAUCCCCGCCUUCCUCGCAGCUUACGCUGGCAGUCCCACCAGAGUCCUCAGCUUUACCUGUUAGUAACUAGUGGCAAGGGUUGCGCUCGUUAUGGCACUUAAGCCGACACCUCACGGCACGAGCUGACGACAACCAUGCAGCACCUCGCAAAUCGCUAUUGCUAGAGGCUCUGUUUCCAGAGCGGUCGAAAUGCGUUCAAACCCGGGUAAGGUUCCUCGCGUAUCAUCGAAUUAAACCACAUGUUCCUCCGCUUGUGCGGGCCCCCGUCAAUUCCUUUGAGUUUCACCGUUGCCGGCGUACUCCCCAGGUGGAUCACUUAACGCUUUCGCUGUGCCGCUUACAGUGUAUCGCAAACAGCUAGUGAUCAUCGUUUACUGCGUGGACUACCAGGGUAUCUAAUCCUGUUUGAUCCCCACGCUUUCGUGCAUCAGCGUCAGUCAUGGCUUGGCAGGCUGCCUUCGCAAUCGGGGUUCUGCGUGAUAUCUAAGCAUUUCACCGCUACACCACGCAUUCCGCCUGCCUCAAACAUACUCAAGCCCCCCAGUUUCAACGGCAAUUCUAUGGUUGAGCCACAGACUUUCACCGCUGACUUAAAAGGCCGCCUACGCACCCUUUAAACCCAAUAAAUCCGGAUAACGCUCGGAUCCUCCGUAUUACCGCGGCUGCUGGCACGGAGUUAGCCGAUCCUUAUUCAUAAGGUACAUACAAAACAGGACACGUCCCACACUUUAUUCCCUUAUAAAAGAGGUUUACGAUCCAUAGAACCUUCAUCCCUCACGCGACUUGGCUGGUUCAGGCUUACGCCCAUUGACCAAUAUUCCUCACUGCUGCCUCCCGUAGGAGUUUGGUCCGUGUCUCAGUACCAAUGUGGGGGACCUUCCUCUCAGAACCCCUAUCCAUCGUCGGUUUGGUGGGCCGUUACCCCGCCAACUGCCUAAUGGAACGCAUGCC